AAUUACAGGUAGGCGUGCAUAACAAGAACAGAAGUUGUUGGUUUCGAAUGGUCAGUUCCAGUAAUUAGUGAGAUCACGUGUAACAAAGGCUGCAUUAGUUCUCAAAUGGCAGCAGGAUGUACAUGUGGCUGGUUUGUGUGAUGGGUUGUAGGAUCAAUCCACUGCAGAUUUUUUCAAGGUCUGUUUCUCUUGGGUCUACUUCAGGAAGACGUCUAUUGAUUUCAGAAUUGUUUAGGUCAAUUAUUU